UUUUUUUUUCUUGUAAUGGAGUUUUCCCAGCUUUGGCUAUGGUUAUUUUAAAAUAUUGGCAGCCGAAAUUGAACAGUCAUUAGAUAAAUGUAUCUUGUGUAAACCUAACAUGCUGAACAAAACGUAUUUUCCACCGCUUAAAAAAUUAUAACGCAAAGAAAAAAAAAAAACUCCGUCGAGCCGGAUUCGAACCAGCGACCUAUGGAUGUCCAUAGUCGAAACCUCUACAGUCCACCGCUCUACCAACUGAGCUAUCGACGGGAACGACGAGUGGCGCUUGUCUUUCAUACAACAUGACUGAGAACAGUACUUGUAUAAAUAUGAGACUUGUUAAAAAAAGCGAUUGUGCGCUCACCGCUGCACUAGUUCUGCCUAAAAUUUUGCAGAACGGUCGUAUUUUGGCGUCGACUUCGUUUAGUAUAACACUUGGCACAGUUAAUAGCCUGGUUUCUAAGAAAAAAAAUUAGACACUGUUUGUAUCUAUGGGAAAAAUGGCGUUUGAAAAACCGGCCCUGGCACAGGCCUGCUUCUGGAACAAGCGACUGCCCUCCUUGAAACGUUGCUUUCCGCAUGACAAAAGGUGCCGACAGAAGUUUAUGCUUGCAUACCCAUAAGCGCCGAAAUGCGAUCGUUCUGCAAAAUAUGAGCAAGAACAGUGCAGCGAUAAUUCCAGAAGCCGAUAUGCUUUCCGGACGAAACAUAAGCUUGUUCCAAUCACACACACCAAUUACGGCAAGCAAACACUCAGCUACCAAAUUCCCACGGUACAUCAUGCAGAAACAAAGGAGUGAGCAUGAAGCAACAGCAGCACCUGGCAAAAGUAGUUCAUCCUCCAUCAACAGCAGUGACAGAAAAAAUGCAGUAGGCUAUGGCUGCACAUACCAAUGCAAACUGUGUCUCUCAAUCCCAGGAUGCAUGCCUAGGCUGUAGGGGUAUUAAGCUUUAUUCAGCUCCCAUGGUCCGCAAAGCUUUUGCCUCAUCUAUCAUACACAUAUGCAUUCCCUGAAGAAAGAGAGUGGGACAACUGA